CGGGUGCGCGGGAGCUGAGCCCCAAGGCGCGAGCCCAAGUCUGGAGAGUUUGUAACAACGGCUGAGGACCCGCGUGACCCGGGCAGGCAGUGGAGGGGACUGACGGCGACGGCUGUGGCCCAGGGCAUGACAUCUCCCACCACACCCCACACCACGACACCCCCCAAAGAAAGGUGCUUCUUUUGAAAGACUGUACAAGGGAGCAAAACCUCGACUCCUCUUCCGGAGGUCCCUUCAGGAAGAUUAGGAGCCCCUGGACUCGGCGACAGGACAGGAAAGGAUCGCAACAGCGUCUUUCAAAUGCCAUUUCUGAUCAGCUUUUGGGUGCCUGACACAACAUCUGGGCAGAUGGAGAGGUCAAGGCAACAGAUAAAAAUGCUAUGAGCCCGAGUAAGGGCAGCGAGGAUUCAGCCAUCUGCACUUUUUUCUUCUCUUGUCUCCCUCCCUCCCUGCCUGUCUCUCCCCUACCCCCACCCUGUUUUCGUCCUCCUGAGUUUGGGAGACCAGCAGGCUUUCUGUUAGACCCACCCUCCCCCACCCCAUUCCUCAUCCCAUCUCAAAAAGAGAGCGAAUGAACCACAUUCUAAGCUGUUACCCGUGAAACUUAGACAAGUUUGGAAAUUAAACAAGUCGCGUUUGCACUCGAGGCCGCGGGAAUCCAAAAGGGAAACAAACAAAACCAGCCCUAAAAAAUCUAUUCCAAGUUAAGAUUUCAAAGAGGAAUCUAAAACGAGUAUUUGUUUAUGGCAAUGUCGUGUUUUUUUUAAUGUUUGAAAAAUAUGUAUCACUCAAGCUUGCAUCAUCGGUAUUCAAUGUGAUUCACCCAAGCGCUUCAAAAGAUGGUUUCUGUUAGUGUUGCAAAAGCACUUCUAAUUUUGGUUGCCAUGGUAACGGAAGUAGUCGCCCUGCGCUGUUGAGACGCUGCCUGGCUCGAACCAGGAACUGUUUUUGAAGAGAUCUCUUCAUGUCCCCUCAUGUCACCAUGGAAUGACCCAGCACCUGCCCAAUUUUUGAGACAGCUCACAGCUUAGAAGAAGGCUCAUCUAAAUAAAGGUCGGC
rnacentral:lncRNA from 1 species